UACGUAGGGGGCUAGCGUUGUCCGGAUUUAUUGGGCGUAAAGAGCGUGUAGGCGGCCAUGUAGGUCCGGUGUGAAAACUCGAGGCUUAACCUCGAGAUGUCAUCGGAAACCAUUUGGCUAGAGUCCGGAAGAGGAGAGUGGAAUUCCUGGUGUAGCGGUGAAAUGCGCAGAUAUCAGGAAGAACACCGGUGGCGAAGGCGGCUCUCUGGGCCUUACCUGACGCUGAGGAGCGAAAGCGUGGGUAGCGAACAGG
rnacentral:rRNA from 1 species